rnacentral:rRNA from 1 species
UAAGACGAACCGUGCAAACGUUAUUCGGAAUCACUGGGCUUAAAGGGCGCGUAGGCGGGUUCUCAAGUCAGGGGUGAAAUCCUCCAGCUUAACUGGAGAAGUGCCUUUGAUACUGGGAAUCUCGAGGGAGGUAGGGGCGUGCGGAACUUCGGGUGGAGCGGUGAAAUGCGUAGAUAUCCGAAGGAACACCGGUGGCGAAAGCGGCGCGCUGGACCUCUUCUGACGCUGAGGCGCGAAAGCCAGGGGAGCAAACGGGAUUAGAUACCCCGGUAGUCCUGGCCCUAAACGUUGGGUACUGGGUAGUGGGCUUACAUGGGCUCACUGCCGAAGCAAAAGUGUUAAGUACCCCGCCUGGGGAGUAUGGUCGCAAGGCUG